UUACAAUACCAGAACCAAAAUCAAAUGAAAUAAAUAGGAACGAAAUUGAAGUUGGCCGUAAUGUGAAACAGUUAUUGAAAUCGGAGUUUGAGAAUUCGACAAAUCGAGAAUGGAAAAUGAAUAAUGUGGAGGAAGAGAUUUAUCAAUUGAAGAACAAUUGAAGAACAAUUGAAGAAGAAAAAGAAGGGGAAUAUUAGGGUGAAGAAUUAGAAAAUGGUUUGUUAUUGAUGUAUGAUUUUUUGUUUGCGCAUUCUGGUUUCGGUGCUUUAUUUUUUUUUUUGUUUCGGUGGUGUUACA